rnacentral:lncRNA from 10 species
GCUCGGGUCUCCUUCCGUGCUGUGGAAGCUUUGUUCUUUUGUUCUUUGCAGUAAAUCUUGCUAUUGCUCACUCUUUGGGUCCACACUGCUUUUAUGAGCUGUAACACUCACCACGAAGGUCUGCAGCUUCACUCCUGAAGCCAGGGAGACCACGAGCACAGCAGGAGGAAGGAACAACUCCAGACGCGGUGCCUUAAGAGCUGUAACAGUCACCGCGAAGGUCUGCAGCUUCACUCCUGAGCCAGCAAGACCACGAACCCACCAGAAGGAAGAAACUCAGAACACAUCUGAACAUCAGAAGGAACAAACUCCAGACACGCCACCUUAAGACACAUGGCGACUUUCAAGAAUUCCAUUAAUUUGAGUGACUCUUCAAAAUCCUAUCUCAAAUAUGUUUUCCAGCUAACUAUAUAUUUUUAAAGAACAAAUGUAUGUUAUUUAUAUACUGGGUUUCUUGACAACUUGAUAUUAAACAAUGGCUUACUAUGCCAGAUUUAAAAUGUAUUUAUUUAAAUGUGCCAUAAUUAAUAAGCAACUUGAAAUUUUGGGACUGACAUGAAAACAUAUUUGUCUAUCUCUGAUUUGCUCUUCUGAAGCCUGGCCAUACUUCUUAGUCUUGAUUCUCUGGCUCUCAGGGAACUGCUGAAAAAUUUCUGAGGUCUUAAGAUCACUUUCUGUAAUUUGAACUCUAUUCUGAGGCCAUCCUUUGUAGUUGUAUAGUUUCAAGCCUGAGAUUAAUACACAUUUAAUCUUUUAAAAUUAUUGCCCAGUGUCUCCUUAGGUUUGUCACAAUAUUUACCUUAAAAAGGGGUAUCCCUUAAAGGAAAAAUGUCUUAAAUUUAGCAAUAGGCUUUGGUAGAUAAGAAGUAGGUUUUAUUAUAAAAAUAAUUGAAAGAAAUAAGAGUUUUUGUUUCCUCCUUCAGGGCCACUUAAGUGACCCUUAGAAUUCUCAAUGUUGAUUUUGACUGCUUUAAGUGUAGUGUGUGCGUGCGUGCGUGUGUGUGUCCCAUUUCCUAGUUUAAUUUCAAGUCUUACAUUUUCAAAUUUUAAAACCUAGCUAAUGUCUCACUUCUUCAAAGAAAUCCUGGAUGAAGGAAGCUAAAUUGUCUCCAUCCACAGUAGUUCCAUAAUCUCUGUUAAUCAGUUGUCAGGGAUCUUAGUAUUGCAUCAUCCUUCCUCAUGACCUGUAUUGUUCACCUUUUUUGGGGUCCUUCAGAUGACCACUGAACUUCUCAAUGUUGGCUUUACUUGAAGAUAAUUAUGCUGCCUUAUUUAACUUGCCAGGGGUAAAACAAGUGUGUGUGUGUUUUUUUUAAUAAAUGCUUGGAAAAAUUGAAAAUUUUCACCAUUCCCCUUCUUUCUUGCUAAUGAGAAAUGGGGCUGGGAUGACUCUCUAGUGAGUAGACCAAGGACCGCAGGGAUUUUGUCAUUUCUGUUGGCAGAACAGGAGAAGGAAGAGGUGGCUCCACAAUGGGAUAGGAGCAGGUGUUGGGGAAUAGAGGAAAUUUCUGUGUCAUUAGGAGCUGAAAGUAUACUGGAGGCCGCUGAAACUCCAUGGACUUAAUUGUUCAUUCAUUCAUUCAUUCAUUCCACAAAUAUUUUUCAGAAUGUUUGUAUUUUCAGAAUGCCUCCUCUGUGUAGGGUGGCAGGAUGAAAGACAUUCGUGUGCCCUGGAGCUUUUAUUCCAGGUUAACUAGCUCUGCUUUCUGGUGUGUCUUGGUUCCUCUUUGUAGCGGCUCUGUGUUCUCCCUUACCUGUGUUUUUCCAGGCUCAGGCCUCAAGAUGUGCUGCCAGGAAUUAUUCACCGAAGCCACACCUCUACCAUCUAGACCACUAGUUCCUGAGAUUUUUUAUGAACCGCAUUAAGAAUCUGAUGAUCACUAUACAUCCACUGAACAGGA